AUUUAUAUAAUUUAAUUAAAAAAUAUUAAUUUGUGAAAUUAAAAAUUUUUAUAAAUU
rnacentral:tRNA from 1 species